AGCGAACGCUGGCGGCAGGCCUAACACAUGCAAGUCGAACGAACUCUUCGGAGUUAGUGGCGGACGGGUGAGUAACACGUGGGAACGUGCCUUUAGGUUCGGAAUAACUCAGGGAAACUUGUGCUAAUACCGAAUGUGCCCUUCGGGGGAAAGAUUUAUCGCCUUUAGAGCGGCCCGCGUCUGAUUAGCUAGUUGGUUAGGGUAAUGGCCCACCAAGGCGACGAUCAGUAGCUGGUCUGAGAGGAUGACCAGCCACAUUGGGACUGAGACACGGCCCAAACUCCUACGGGAGGCAGCAGUGGGGAAUCUUGCGCAAUGGGCGAAAGCCUGACGCAGCCAUGCCGCGUGUAUGAUGAAGGUCUUAGGAUUGUAAAAUACUUUCACCGGUGAAGAUAAUGACUGUAGCCGGAGAAGAAGCCCCGGCUAACUUCGUGCCAGCAGCCGUCGUAAUAC
rnacentral:rRNA from 1 species